CCAGACUCCUACGGGAGGCAGCAGUGGGGGAUAUUGCACAAUGGGGGGAACCCUGAUGCAGCGACGCCGCGUGGGUGAAGGAGUAUUUCGGUAUGUAAAGCCCUAUCGGCAGGGAAGAAGCAAGACGGUACCUGACUAAGAAGCCCCGGCUAACUACGUGCCAGCAGCCGCGGUAAUACGGAGGAUGCGAGCGUUAUCCGGAUUUAUUGGGUUUAAAGGGUGCGUAGGCGGAUUUUUAAGUCAGCGGUAAAAUGGCCGGGCUCAACCCGGGCCGGCCGUUGAAACUGGGGAUCUUGAGUGGGCGAGAAGUAUGCGGAAUGCGUGGUGUAGCGGUGAAAUGCAUAGAUAUCACGCAGAACUCCGAUUGCGAAGGCAGCAUACCGGCGCCCGACUGACGCUGAGGCACGAAAGCGUGGGGAUCGAACAGGAUUAGAUACCCCUGUA
rnacentral:rRNA from 1 species